GACGAACGCUGGCGGCGUGCCUAAUACAUGCAAGUAGAACGCACAGUUUAUACCGUAGCUUGCUACACCAUAGACUGUGAGUUGCGAACGGGUGAGUAACGCGUAGGUAACCUGCCUGGUAGCGGGGGAUAACUAUUGGAAACGAUAGCUAAUACCGCAUAAUAUUAAUUAUUGCAUGAUAAUUAAUUGAAAGGUGUAAUUGCACCACUACCAGAUGGACCUGCGUUGUAUUAGCUAGUAGGUGAGGUAACGGCUCACCUAGGCGACGAUACAUAGCCGACCUGCGAGGGUGGUCGGCCACACUGGGACUGUGACACGGCCCAGACUCCUACGGGAGGCAGCCGUAGGGAAUCUUCGGCAACGGACGAAAGUCUGACCGAGCAACGCCGCGUGAGUGAAGAAGGUUGUCGGAUCGUAAAGCUCUGUUGUAAGAGAAGAACGGGUGUGAGAGUGGAAAGUUCACACUGUGACGGUAUCUUACCAGAAAGGGACGGCUAACUACGUG
rnacentral:rRNA from 1 species